AUGCCGAUGGCGGGUUGCCACGUCCUCGUGCGCUGCGUUCUGUUCGCAAUGCCAACCUUUGCGCUCACGGCUUUACGCGCGCCGAAGAAACUCUUCAAGGAAAUCGAUAAGUCGAGGAGACGCUUCCUCUGGGCACACGAUGACGAGAUCUCUGGGGCGAAGUGCAAGGUGGACUGGAAGACGGUAACGACGCCGGAGCAGCAUGGCGGCCUGGGCAUCCAUGAUCUAUCCAGGUUCGCCCGCGCAAUGCGACUAUGGUGGAUGUGGCUCGCCUGGCAACAGUCGCACCGACCUUGGGUCGGCACCGGCACGCCUUGCAACAGCAGGGAUUUGGCCCUGUUCGCAGCAUGCACAUCCGUAACCAUCGGGAAUGGACCUCAGCUUCCUUCUGGUCCUCCUCCUGGCUGGGAGGCCGGCAGCUUUGCGCGGCCUUCCCGGCGCUCUUUGCUGCAUCCAUCAGGAAGAACCGGUCGGUUCAAGAGGCCUUGUAGGGUAACCGCUGGGUCCUCGACCUCAGGCAUGCCAACGGUAGCGACAUCGUCCGCCAAUUCAUUGAACUAG
rnacentral:rRNA from 1 species